UCCUCGCCGCGGGCUCGCCGCCGCCCAGCGAAACGGAGACUCACAUUCACCUGUCUACAGCAGGAGUUCAGCAUCACCGCCCCCGCCAAAGUCGCGCCGCUACGAAACGUUAUACGAGCCUCAAGCAGGUAACUGGAUGCAUCGAGCUCUGACCAAACUGGCUCGGAAGCGGCCGCACAGCGACAGCUGACGGACGACGGCUCGGACGACAGCGACGAGGAGUACCAGGACACGAGCCCCUACCUCUAGGCACCACCCGCGGACGUAUACUUCGUAUUCGUAUACAUGUACGUCCAGCAACUCGAAGGAAAUACGGCGCUGCCGGCGCCCAAGGGCCUCUCGACGUCCUCAAGAGAUAAAUUAUAGUAUGAAUUACGUCGUUUAAAUUUUGUAUGCGCGUUGAGUACAAGUGAGCGAAUGUAUUUAAUAUAAUGUGAUUCAUCAUAUGAAAUCCUAAUCCUAUAGUUAUUUAUUUGUCUUAUUAAGUAAAUUUAGUUUCUUCUCGCCCCAAUAUGAUUGCAGCAUGGCAAGUUGUUAGCACGUAUACAUAAUUACCAUCGUGUAAGAUAACGAUGCAAAAUAUAGAGUUGAGAUAUUAAUUUUAUUUAUAAAUAUUAUUAGGUGACACUUUUUGACAGUCGAUUAAAAAGGUGCUUAUUAAUGUUUA